rnacentral:rRNA from 1 species
UACGGGGGGGGCAAGCGUUGUUCGGAAUUACUGGGCGUAAAGGGCGCGUAGGCGGUUUGCUAAGUCGGAUGUGAAAACUCUGGGCUCAACCCAGAGCCUGCAUCCGAAACUGGCAGGCUAGAGUUCUGGAGGGGGUAGCGGAAUUCCUGGUGUAGCGGUGAAAUGCGUAAAUAUCAGGAGGAACACCGGUGGCGAAGGCGGCUACCUGGACAGAAACUGACGCUGAGGCGCGAAAGCUAGGGGAGCAAACAGG